rnacentral:rRNA from 1 species
UACGUAGGGUGCAAGCGUUAUCCGGAAUUUAUUGGGCGUAAAAGAGCUCGUAGGCGGUUUGUCGCGUCUGCUGUGAAAACUGGAGGCUCAACCUCCAGCCUGCAGUGGGUACGGGCAGACUAGAGUGCGGUAGGGGAGAUUGGAAUCCUGGUGUAGCGGUGGAAUGCGCAGAUAAUCAGGAGGAACACCGAUGGCGAAGGCAGAUCUCUGGGCCGUAACUGACGCUGAGGAGCGAAAAGCAUGGGGGAGCGAACAGG